rnacentral:rRNA from 1 species
GAUGAGUUGGGAAAGUUUUUUCGCUAAAGGAUUGGGCUAUAUGGUAUCAGCUUGUUGGUGAGGUAACGGCUCACCAAGGCUAUGACGCCUAACUGGUCUGAGAGGAUGAUCAGUCACACUGGAACUGAGACACGGUCCAGACUCCUACGGGAGGCAGCAGUGGGGAAUAUUACACAAUGGAGGAAACUCUGAUGUAGCAACGCCGCGUGGAGGAUGACACAUUUCGGUGCGUAAACUCCUUUUAUAUGGGAAGAUAAUGACGGUACCAUAUGAAUAAGCACCGGCUAACUCCGUGCCAGCAGCCGCGGUAAUACGGAGGGUGCAAGCGUUACUCGGAAUCACUGGGCGUAAAGCGCAUGUAGGCGGUCUUGUAAGUUGGGUGUGAAAGCCUAUGGCUCAACCAUAGAACUGCACCCAAAACUACUAGACUAGAGUCUGGGAGAGGAAAAUGGAAUUAGUUGUGUAGGGGUAAAAUCCGUAGAGAUAACUAGGAAUACCAAAAGCGAAGGCAAUUUUCUGGAACAGUACUGACGCUCAGAUGCGAAAGCGUGGGUAGCAAACAGGAUUAGAUACCCUGGUAGUCCACGCCCUAAACGAUGAAUGUUAGUCGUCGGGAGGCUCGUCCUUUCGGUGAUGCAGCUAACGCAUUAAACAUUCCGCCUGGGGAGUACGGUCGCAAGAUUAAAACUCAAAGGAAUAGGCGGGGACCCGCACAAGUGGUGGAGCAUGUGGUUAAUUCGAAGAUACGCGAAGAACCUUACCUAGCCUUGACAUUGAUAGAAUCCGAUGGAAACAUUGGAGUGCCAGUUUACUGGAGCUUGAAAACAGGUGCUGCACGGCUGUCGUCAGCUCGUGUCGUGAGAUGUUGGGUUAAGUCCCGCAACGAGCGCAACCCUCGUCCUUAGUUACUAACGGUUCGGCCGAGGACUCUAAGGAGACUGCCUUCGUAAGGAGGAGGAAGGUGAGGACGACGUCANNUCAUCAUGGCCCUUACGGCUAGGGCGACACACGUGCUACAAUGGAUAGGACAAUGAGACGCAAUACCGCGAGGUGGAGCAAAUCUAUAAACCUAUUCUCAGUUCGGAUUGUAGUCUGCAACUCGACUACAUGAAGCUGGAAUCACUAGUAAUCGUAGAUCAGCCAUGCUACGGUGAAUACGUUCCCGGGUCUUGUACUCACCGCCCGUCACACCGUGGGAGUUGAUUUCACCCGAAGCGGG